CCUACGGGAGGCUGCAGUAGGGAAUCUUCCACAAUGGGCGAAAGCCUGAUGGAGCAACGCCGCGUGGGUGAAGAAGGUCUUCGGAUCGUAAAACCCUGUUGUUAGAGAAGAAAGUGCGUGAGAGUAACUGUUCACGUUUCGACGGUAUCUAACCAGAAAGCCACGGCUAACUACGCGCCAGCAGCCGCGGUAAUACGUAGGUGGCAAGCGUAAUCCGGAUUUAUUGGGCGUAAAGGGAACGCAGGCGGUCUUUUAAGUCUGAUGUGAAAGCCUUCGGCUUAACCGGAGUAGUGCAUUGGAAACGGGGAGACGUGAGUGCAGAAGAGGAGAGUGGAACUCCAUGUGUAGCGGUGAAAUGCGUAGAUAUAUGGAAGAACACCAGUGGCGAAAGCGGCUCUCUGGUCUGUAACUGACGCUGAGGUUCGAAAGCGUGGGUAGCAAACAGGAUUAGAUACCCUGGUAGUC
rnacentral:rRNA from 1 species